rnacentral:misc_RNA from 1 species
GCGCCUUGCUUUAAAAAGGCCCUCGCCUCUCGCCUCUUGUCUAAGGCCAUAGGAUACCUUGUCGCCUUUCACCUUGACAACACUAUUUAGUAUUAAGAUUUUGACAUGAUUCAUUAAUUGUGUCGUAUUCAUAUUAACCCUUAUCAUUUUCGUAUUUACCCUAAUUGUGUUCGUGUCAUGUAUUGACAUGACAUAAAUACAAUCAACCAACCGGAAUUUACACCCUUACCCAGCCCUCUCUAUUGUGUGUCAAGCUUAGGAUUAAUGGUUAUGUGAAGCCCAACUCAAUCCACCCAACAAAUUAUUUAUUUUAUUUUAUAUAAUGUCUAUUAGCAUAGGCCAAGUUUGGCCAAAGAUAUAGGUCCAAUAUUUAGGCCAAGCAAACCCAAAUAUUAAAUAUGUAUAAACAAACAUAAAGCUCAUUCCAAACAUGUAAGCAAUGCUGCUCUGUAAUAUAUCCCAAGGAAACAUGUCACACGAUAUUCUCAUACUAAGGCCUCUUUUGGGGUUGAGAAUAGGAGGUCAAAAAUUACUUUUUGAAAAACCACCAUUUUAGAUACUAUUG